rnacentral:tRNA from 1 species
UAGAUUAUGGUGUAGUGUGGU